AGUGCAUGUGGUGGAUGCCUUGGCAGUCAGAGGCGAUGAAAGACGUGAUAGCCUGCGAAAAGCUCCGGGGAGGCGGCAAAUAUCCUUUGAUCCGGAGAUGUCUGAAUGGGGGAACCCACCUACUUUAAGGUAGGUAUUGCAACAUGAAUACAUAGUGUUGCAAGGCGAACGAGGGGAAGUGAAACAUCUCAGUACCCUUAGGAAAAGAAAUCAAUUGAGAUUCCCUCAGUAGCGGCGAGCGAACGGGGAUCAGCCCAUUAAGUUAUGUGUGUUUUAGUGGAACGCUCUGGGAAGUGCGAACGUAGAGGGUGAUAUUCCCGUACACGAAAGGGCACACAUAAUGAUGACGAGUAGGGCGAGGCACGUGAAACCUUGUCUGAAUAUGGGGGGACCAUCCUCCAAGGCUAAAUACUCCUGACUGACCGAUAGUGAACCAGUACCGUGAGGGAAAGGCGAAAAGAACCCCUGUGAGGGGAGUGAAAUAGAUCCUGAAACCGCAUGCAUACAAGCAGUGGGAGCACCUUCGUGGUGUGACUGCGUACCUUUUGUAUAAUGGGUCAGCGACUUAUAUUCAGUAGCGAGGUUAACCGUAUAGGGGAGCCGUAGAGAAAUCGAGUCUUAAUAGGGCGUUUAGUUGCUGGGUAUAGACCCGAAACCAGGCGAUCUAUCCAUGAGCAGGUUGAAGGUUGGGUAACACUAACUGGAGGACCGAACCCACUGUCGUUGAAAAGCCAGGGGAUGACUUGUGGAUAGGGGUGAAAGGCUAAUCAAGCCUGGUGAUAGCUGGUUCUCCCCGAAAGCUAUUUAGGUAGCGCCUCGGACGAAUACCAUAGGGGGUAGAGCACUGUUUCGGCUAGGGGGUCAUCCCGACUUACCAAACCGAUGCAAACUCCGAAUACCUAUGAGUACUAUCCGGGAGACAGACUGCGGGUGCUAACGUCCGUAGUCAAGAGGAAAACAAUCCAGACCGCCAGCUAAGGCCCCAAAAUCAUAGUUAAGUGGGAAACGAUGUGGGAAGGCAUAGACAGCUAGGAGGUUGGCUUAGAAGCAGCCACCCUUUAAAGAAAGCGUAAUAGCUCACUAGUCGAGUCGGCCUGCGCGGAAGAUGUAACGGGGCUAAAACUAUGUGCCGAAGCUGCGGAUGUAUACUUUGUAUACGUGGUAGGGGAGCGUUCUGUAAGCCGAUGAAGGUGUGUUGAGAAGCAUGCUGGAGGUAUCAGAAGUGCGAAUGCUGACGUGAGUAACGACAAAACGGGUGAAAAACCCGUUCGCCGAAAGACCAAGGGUUCCAGUCCAACGUUAAUCGGGGCUGGGUGAGUCGACCCCUAAGGCGAGGCCGAAAGGCGUAGUCGAUGGGAAAAUGGUUAAUAUUCCAUUACUUCUGUGUAAUGCGAUGAGAGGACGGAGAAGGCUAAAUCAGCCUGGCGUUGGUUGUCCAGGUGAAAGGAUGUAGGCAUGUAUCUUAGGCAAAUCCGGGGUACUCUAUGCUGAGAUCUGAUAGCAAGCUGUACUUGUACAGCGAAGUGGUUGAUGCCAUGCUUCCAGGAAAAGUCUCUAAGCUUCAGUUACACAGGAAUCGUACCCGAAACCGACACAGGUGGUCAGGUCGAGUAGACCAAGGCGCUUGAGAGAACUCUGCUGAAGGAACUAGGCAAAAUGGUACCGUAACUUCGGGAGAAGGUACGCUGUUGUUGGUGAUGGAACUCGCUUCCUGAGCUGACGACAGCCGCAGAAACCAGGCCGCUGCAACUGUUUAUUAAAAACAUAGCACUCUGCAAACACGAAAGUGGACGUAUAGGGUGUGAUGCCUGCCCGGUGCUGGAAGGUUAAUUGAUGGGGUUAGCGUAAGCGAAGCUCUUGAUCGAAGCCCCAGUAAACGGCGGCCGUAACUAUAACGGUCCUAAGGUAGCGAAAUUCCUUGUCGGGUAAGUUCCGACCUGCACGAAUGGCAUAAUGAUGGCGGCGCUGUCUCCAGCAGAGGCUCAGUGAAAUCGAAAUCGCUGUGAAGAUGCAGUGUACCCGCGGCUAGACGGAAAGACCCCGUGAACCUUUACUGCAGCUUGACACUGAACUUUGACCUUACUUGUGUAGGAUAGGUGGGAGGCUUUGAAGCUGGAACGCUAGUUCCAGUGGAGCCGUCCUUGAAAUACCACCCUGGUAAUGUUGAGGUUCUAACUCUGUCCCGUGAUCCGGGACGAGGACCGUGUCUGGUGGGUAGUUUGACUGGGGCGGUCUCCUCCUAAAGAGUAACGGAGGAGUACGAAGGUGCGCUCAGCGUGGUCGGAAAUCACGCGUAGAGUAUAAAGGCAAAAGCGCGCUUAACUGCGAGACCCACAAGUCGAGCAGGUACGAAAGUAGGUCUUAGUGAUCCGGUGGUUCUGUAUGGAAGGGCCAUCGCUCAACGGAUAAAAGGUACUCUGGGGAUAACAGGCUGAUACCGCCCAAGAGUUCAUAUCGACGGCGGUGUUUGGCACCUCGAUGUCGGCUCAUCUCAUCCUGGGGCUGAAGCAGGUCCCAAGGGUAUGGCUGUUCGCCAUUUAAAGAGGUACGCGAGCUGGGUUUAGAACGUCGUGAGACAGUUCGGUCCCUAUCUACCGUGGGCGCUGGAAAUUUGAGAGGAUCUGCUCCUAGUACGAGAGGACCAGAGUGGACGAACCUC
rnacentral:rRNA from 1 species